rfam:Candidatus Portnoybacteria bacterium RIFCSPHIGHO2_01_FTLL_40_12b rifcsphigho2_01_scaffold_3490, whole genome shotgun sequence.
CGGGCUGUAGUGUAAUUGGCAGCACGAGUCCUUCGGGAGGAUUUAGCCCCGGUUCGACCCCGGGCAGCCCGA